GUGAGGAAUUUUCCGCAAUGGGCGAAAGCCUGACGGAGCAAUGCCGCGUGAAGGAUGAAGGCCUAUGGGUUGUAAACUUCUUUUCUCAGAAAAGAAUUAUGACGGUAUCUGAGGAAUAAGCAUCGGCUAACUCUGUGCCAGCAGCCGCGGUAAGACAGAGGAUGCAAGCGUUAUCCGGAAUGAUUGGGCGUAAAGCGUCUGUAGGUUGUUUAAAAAGUAUUCUGUCAAAGAUUAGGGCUUAACCCUAGAUAGGCAGAAUAAACUUUUAAGCUAGGGUUUGGUAGAGGCAGAGGGAAUUCCCGGUGGAGCGGUGAAAUGCGUAGAUAUCGGGAGGAACACCAAAGGCGAAGGCACUCUGCUGGGCCAAUACUAACACUGAGAGACGAAAGCGAGGGGAGCAAAUGGGAUUAGAAACCCGUGUAGUCC
rnacentral:rRNA from 1 species